rnacentral:rRNA from 1 species
GACAGAGGUGCCAAGCGUUAGGCGGAAUCACUGGGCUUAAAGCGUGUGUAGGCGGAUGCCUAAGUACCUUGUGAAAUCCCCCGGCUCAACCGGGGAACUGCUGGGUAUACUGGGCGUCUUGGGUCAUCUAGGGGCUGCCGGAACAAAUGGUGGGGCGGUGAAAUGCGUAGAUAUCAUUUGGAACGCCAACGGCGAAAGCAGGCAGCUGGGGAUGCACCGACGCUGAGACACGAAAGCCAGGGGAGCGAACGGG